GAUGAACGCUGGCGGCGUGCCUAAUACAUGCAAGUCGAGCGAACGGACGAGAAGCCUGCUUCUCUGAUGUUAGCGGCGGACGGGUGAGUAACACGUGGAUAACCUACCUAUAAGACUGGGAUAACUUCGGGAAACCGGAGCUAAUACCGGAUAAUAUUUUGAACCGCAUGGUUCAAAAGUGAAAGACGGUCUUGCUGUCACUUAUAGAUGGAUCCGCGCUGCAUUAGCUAGUUGGUAAGGUAACGGCUUACCAAGGCAACGAUGCAUAGCCGACCUGAGAGGGUGAUCGGCCACACUGGAACUGAGACACGGUCCAGACUCCUACGGGAGGCAGCAGUAGGGAAUCUUCCGCAAUGGGCGGAAGCCUGACGGAGCAACGCCGCGUGAGUGAUGAAGGUCUUCGGAUCGUAAAACUCUGUUAUUAGGGAAGAACAUAUGUGUAAGUAACUGUGCACAUCUUGACGGUACCUAAUCAGAAAGCCACGGCUAACUACGUG
rnacentral:rRNA from 1 species